UUAAUGGGCCUUUAAGCUUCUCUUCUUUAUACGUUAAAAAUCCCUAUAACAUUCAACCACAUUCCUCCAUAUCUCUUCAAGCCACAACCGUCAAGAACUAUGAAAGUUCAUUAGUUCAUCUCCAUAUCAUUCGCUCAUUCUGAUCCCAAUCCGCCGACAUAGAAGGGCCGCCUGCCAGAAUUAAAAUUCAGCAAUUACCGCUGUCAGAAUCUCGAUUUGCGAUUAGAUUCAUCCACUCUAACUCGUGUUCUAUCUUGGAUACAUCAGAUUUUGAAGGUUGUGAGAUCAAUUAAUGUGAAGGAAUCAUGAUAGGGUGAAAGUACGGAAGACUUCAUCAAGAAAAAUACAUGGAUGCUGAAGCUUUGAAUUAUGUUGGUGUAUAUGGAAGUUAUAAGAGAAAAGUUAUGGUUAUGUAGUCAUAUGUUGAAGUAAUUCAUUAUGUUGUUUGAAUCGUAUAUGGUGUACAACUCUUGAAACUUUUGAAAUGAAUAAAAAUGUUUGUAGUA